GGGGCUGACUUGGAUUUCGACAGAUUUCUUGUCGCACAGACAGCAUGCCAAGUGCUACUUGUAAAACAGCAACAAAAAUAACUGUAAACAACACAGAUUACGCUCCAGCUUACGCUAAAGCUGCGUGAGUUAAUCUCCUUUUGGAGCUGGACUGAUUAGAACUUCUAGCGUUUUAAUCACUCCAUAACCUUAAGCUAGACGCUUUUAAAAGGUGGUUCGCCUUUUAAACUAAGAAACAAGAACUCUUGAAACUACCUCAAGGUUUUAGAAAGUUGGACCAGAGCUAGUUUUAAGGCUAAAAAACCAACCAAUUUUCUAAGCAUUGUAGAAGUUUGUGUUUAGGGCAAGAUUUUUGGACUGGGGUUCGAUUCCCCACAGCUCCACCA
rnacentral:tmRNA from 1 species